UUACUUUUUGGGCAACCCAAUAUUUUAAGGUAUGCAUCGAAAUUGACACCAUAUAACUGUCUGGCAAAGUCCGAUUUCCUAUCUCUCCUACGCAAACCAAAAACAUAUCUUGCAACAUCACUAAAGGCAACAUAUAUUUUUUUUUAUCUAUAUCACAAUUUGAAAAAAUUUCACAGGAAUAUAAAAGUAUUGGCAGGAUUUAUGUUUUUGAAACGCUCACCAUUAUCAGCAACUCUUAUAUAAGGUCCUUAAUACACCUUACGUUUCGCCUACUGCCGAGUUAAUAUGAUUAGCCCAUGAUAAUUUAUCAUCAAAAACUACGCCAAGAUUACUCGCUGAGGUCACCAUUAAUUAACUUUGCAAUUAAUGGUUCUGCAAUCUAACCAUUAAUUGUAAUGUUAAGAUUUAGUGGUAAUAUUGUGCGAUUUCUGGAAAUGGGUAUGCAUUUUGACUUCGAGGGAUUCAAUAGAAGGCCAUUCGCAUUCGCCCACGCCCACUAUCAAGGUCGUUAUUCAGACGAACUAUGGUAUCAUUUGUUUUCUCAGCCGACGUGCUUAUGUACAAUUGAACAUCAUCGACAUACAUAUAAUACUACAACUCUCCAAAUGUUUGGGAAGGUCAUUGCUGUAUAAAGAAAAAAGGAGGGGCCUAAUAUUGAACCUUGUGGGACACCGCGCGAAACUGGAAGGCAUCUAGAAUUACGAUUUCCAACUGAUACCGAUUAGCUACGAUAAGAAAGAUAGGAAAUAAUCAGAUUUGUUGAAGAUUCGGAAAAUUUAAAAAAAAAUUUAAGUUAGAGGCAGAGGAUUUUGGGGUCAAAGCCAGAAAAGUGAUUUUGAUGCGGUCAAUAUUACUUCUUAUAUUUUCAACAACUUUCAAAAGUGUAAUGGUGCUUCGGUCGGAAUACUGAUUGGAGGUUAGUAAAAAGUGAAUUAUCCACAAUAUGCUUCGAAAUUUGUUUGUUCAAAAGAUGUUCAAAUAUCUUCGAAAUGUAGGGAAGUAUGGCUAUAGGUCUAAAUUCGUGAUUGGAAAAAAAAUAUUUUUAAAAAUUUAGGAUCAAUUAGAUCAGAUCCCACAGCAUUGGAUUUAAUUGAUUUAAUGUAAUCGAUGAUGUCAAAUGGUUGAAACUGUUCGAAAUCAAAAAUAAGAUUCGGAGUAAUAUCAUUGUCAAUAUUACUAAAUACAUUCUCAUAAAAGUCAAUAUUGGGCCUUGGUAGAGAUAUAUUUAAAAAGCUUUCAUUAAUUGCACCCAAAUCCACAAUAUCACCAACAGAUAUGCUAUCGCCGCCUAUUUCAAUUGACUUAAUAUGCCUCCAGGUAAUUUUUGUGUUUAAUGGCUCCUGAAAUUUCCUGCUAAAAUAAUCGAAUUUCUAUGUCAAAAAUUAUCAAAACAAUUAACACCUUGUUUGAAAAGUAUUUUAUAAGUCAAUAUCAUAUUUAUUCGGUCAAAUUAGGUCUACAUUUUUGUAAGAUAAUUUUGCUGUUGUUAGGUGUUCCUUCGGACGGCAGAGGGGUGUGUCCGAGUGAAGCUGGUGGAGUGUUGGCAGUCGAAGUACGAGUUUGUGACGAGUGAGAUGUGGACGACAACCGAGAGCAGACAAAUGCAACAGCUAAAAAUGAGCGCAUGACGAAUGAACGAAUAUUGGAGAUAGUUGGUGGUGGAUUGACAAAGGAGCGAACAUAAAGGAAAGAUAGCAGCGAUGUGUCAAAUAAGUGUGUUGGUGGCGUGACAAAUGAGUGUACUGGUGGUGAAGCAACAAAUGAAAGCCACAACGAUCGACGGUGCCGAUGUGGCAAAUAAGCAUAUACAAUGUAUGGUUAGUGGGUAGGAAGCAAAAGAAAGCACAAGCAAAAUGAUCGACGGUGCUGUCAUGGACAGACAAAAUGCUCAAUUGGCGGUGAGCCCUGCAAACAUUUUCUAUCGUACGAGGCGAUAUCAUUUUUUAGUCUAAUUAAUGUCUCGACACGGGAGAAAACCAGUCAAUUGGUAAUAUAUCCCAACGAGAGACUACAAAAAGUUUAAAAUUCGAGUGUGUCAUUGAAAAAAAAAGAGUAAAUUCUCUUUUUUCCAAGUUUUUUCGGUUGGGUUUCGUUAUAGACAAACGAAACAGAAAUAAUGAAAAAGAAAAAUGCGGAGCAGAGAAUUAGAUGCUACAACUCCAAUUGUAUGGGACAUUACUCGGCCGAAUGCAGAAAGCCUAGAAGAAAGCCAGGGGUAUGGCAGUAUGAAGCAUUUUGUGGCGAUUUGCCUGAGAGGAAGAUGAAGGCAGCGAAUAAACAGAACGAAUAUAAUGCCUGAUGGACACAGGGAAACCGGCGAGCUUAGUGAGGAGGUCAUGAGUAGAGGGUCGUUUCGAUGUGAAUAGGUUGGCAGGAGUGGGGCGCUAUUAUUUGGGGUGAAUCGAUGGGAGAUUGACUUUUGGAAAUUGUUUAUUUUAUAUUGUUUUUCGUAGCAAAAAGAUUGAAAUUGA
rnacentral:sRNA from 1 species